UUCAACGGCCGCGGUAUCCUAACCGUGCGAAGGUAGCGUAAUCACUUGUUCUUUAAAUGAGGACUAGUAUGAAUGGCACCACGAAGGUUAUACUGUCUCCUCUAUCUAAUCAGUGAAACUAAUCUCCCCGUGAAGAAGCGGGGAUAAUUAUAUAAGACGAGAAGACCCUACGGAGCUUUAAACUAAGAAUCAUCUGCUUUACCCUCCUUCAAAUUUCAGAAAACUAACUUUUACCCAAGCACUCUGAUCUCUAGUCUUAGGUUGGGGUGACCACGGAGUAAAAACCAACCUCCGCAAUGAACCGGGAUCUUUCCUUAACCAAGGGCCACAGCCCUAAGAAUCAACACAUUGACAUCAAUUGACCCAAAAAUUUGAUCAAUGAACCAAGUUACCCUAGGGAUAACAGCGCAAUCCACUUCAAGAGCCCCCAUCGACAAGUGGGUUUACGACCUCGAUGUUGGAUCAGG
rnacentral:rRNA from 1 species